ACAAGCGGCGGAGCAUGCGGAUUAAUUCGAUGCAACGCGAAGAACCUUUACCAAGGCUUGACAUCCCGAUGCUAUUUCUAGAGAUAGAAAGUUACUUCGGUACAUCGGUGACAGGUGGUGCAUGGUUGUCGUCAGCUCGUGUCGUGAGAUGUUGGGUUAAGUCCCGCAACGAGCGCAACCCCUAUUGUUAGUUGCCAUCAUUCAGUUUGGGCACUCUAGCGAGACUGCCGGUAAUAAACCGGAGGAAGGUGGGGAUGACGUCAAAUCAUCAUGCCCCUUAUGACCUGGGCUACACACGUGCUACAAUGGUUGGUACAACGAGUUGCGAGUCGGUGACGGCGAGCUAAUCUCUUAAAGCCAAUCUCAGUUCGGAUUGUAGGCUGCAACUCGCCUACAUGAAGUCGGAAUCGCUAGUAAUCGCGGAUCAGCACGCCGCGGUGAAUACGUUCCCGGGCCUU
rnacentral:rRNA from 1 species